UCUCUCAAUCGGAUGAGAUGGAUCAGUUGGAAUCGUAGGAUAUUGGAAUUGGAGGAAGAGAUUGAAUCGAUUCUCAAUUGCUUAUAGUCCGAUGAGUUCAGAUGGAUUCUUUCUCAUUAGCGCAAGCAAAGAGAAUUUUCUAAAAAUGACACCAAAUCCCAAGAUUAAGAAAGCUUGUGUUGCCAUGAAGCUUUUGGGAAUACAAGAGGUCAGUUUUGAAAUUUGAUGAGCUUGGUUUGGAGAUAGCGUGAAUUGCUUACCCUGCAGCACUUGCUUUAACAGUUGAUCCUAUCGCAUCUCUAGUUGACACAGCCUUCAUUGGCCAAAUUGGAGGAUUUUUUACGCUACAAGUAAUAAUGGAUUUACUAUUGAGCCUUAAGAAAAGUUCGGAUCAUUAAAAGCGAGAAGAAUCUGAAUUCGGUUCUAGUUUUCAACCGACCAAACCGAAAUUAAAUUAUACUGGAUUUGGUUUAU